rfam:Rattus norvegicus chromosome 3, whole genome shotgun sequence.
GGGGAUUUAGCUCAGUGGUAGAGCGCUUGCCUAGCAAGCUCAAGGCCCUGGGUUCAUUCCCCAGCUCCG